CCGAAUUCGUCGACACAGAGUUUGAUCCUGGCUCAGAACGAACGCUGGCGGCGUGGAUAAGACAUGCAAGUCGAACGGGAUUACACCUGUAGCAAUACAGGUGUGGUUCAGUGGCGAAAGGGUGCGUAACACGUGGGGAAUCUGCCGAGAAGUGGGGGAUAGCUCGCCGAAAGGCGAAUUAAUACCGCAUGUGACUAUCGAAGACAUCUUCGAGACGUCAAAGCCGGGGCAACCUGGCGCUUCUUGAUGACCCCGCGGCCUAUCAGCUAGUUGGUGAGGUAAUGGCUCACCAAGGCUAUGACGGGUAGCUGGUCUGAGAGGACGACCAGUCACACUGGAACUGAGACACGGUCCAGACACCUACGGGUGGCAGCAGUCGAGAAUUUUUCUCAAUGGGGGAAACCCUGAAGGAGCGACGCCGCGUGGAGGAUGAAGGUCUUCGGAUUGUAAACUCCUGUCAUUUGGGAACAAUUGUCACCGGUUAACUGCCGGGGGCUUGAUAGUACCAGAAGAGGAAGGGACGGCUAACUCUGUGCCAGCAGCCGCGGUAAUACAGAGGUCCCAAGCGUUGUUCGGAUUCAUUGGGCGUAAAGGGUGCGUAGGCGGCGGGGCAAGUUGGAUGUGAAAUCUCGGGGCUCAACCCCGAAACUGCAUUCAAUACUGCCUUGCUCGAGUACUGGAGAGGAGACUGGAAUUCAUGGUGUAGCAGUGAAAUGCGUAGAUAUCAUGAGGAAGGCCAGUGGCGAAGGCGGGUCUCUGGACAGUUACUGACGCUGAGGCACGAAGGCCAGGGGAGCAAACGGGAUUAGAUACCCCGGUAGUCCUGGCAGUAAACGGUGCACGUUUGGUGUGAGAGGAUUCGACCCCUUCCGUGCCGGAGCUAACGCGUUAAACGUGCCGCCUGGGGAGUACGGUCGCAAGAUUAAAACUCAAAGAAAUUGACCGGGGGCCCGCACAAGCGGGUGAAGUAUGUGGCUUAAUUUCCAUGCAACGCCGAAGAAACCUUACCAAGGCCUUUGACCUUGCAUUUGCUUAAGUCGGGGGAAAAAGCCCGGGGG
rnacentral:rRNA from 1 species